CAGCCGCCACGGUAAUACGUAGGGUGCGAGCGUUAAUCGGAAUUACUGGGCGUAAAGAGCUCGUAGGCGGUUUGUCGCGUCUGCCGUGAAAGUCCGGGGCUCAACCCCGGAUCUGCGGUGGGUACGGGCAGACUAGAGUGAUGUAGGGGAGACUGGAAUUCCUGGUGUAGCGGUGAAAUGCGCAGAUAUCAGGAGGAACACCGAUGGCGAAGGCAGGUCUCUGGGCAUUAACUGACGCUGAGGAGCGAAAGCAUGGGGAGCGAACAGGAUUAGAUACCCCCGUAGUCCCUGUCUCUUAUAC
rnacentral:rRNA from 1 species